CUUUCUUUUGCUGGCGACCGGCGCACGGGUGAGUAACACGUAUCCAACCUGCCCUUUACUCGGGGAUAGCCUUUCGAAAGAAAGAUUAAUACCCGAUAGCAUAAUGAUUCCGCAUGGUUUCAUUAUUAAAGGAUUCCGGUAAAGGAUGGGGAUGCGUUCCAUUAGGUUGUUGGUGGGGUAACGGCCCACCAAGCCUUCGAUGGAUAGGGGUUCUGAGAGGAAGGUCCCCCACAUUGGAACUGAGACACGGUCCAA
rnacentral:rRNA from 1 species